rnacentral:lncRNA from 1 species
UUCCCUGGAGAACAGUCUCUCUUGACCUGUCUCCGCAGGUCUCUUUGCUCAGUCUUACUUCUGUCUCCUGCCCUUUCUUCAGAGCUGGGUGAAACUGGUCCUCAGCAGUGUGAAAGUGGAUUCUUCAUGUGCUUUUCAUCUUGCUGAGUCCCGGCAACAUUUUAUCCUCUUCUUGCUGCGAGAUUGAGGAGCAAAUGGGGUCAGGGGCAGGUAAGGACUGAGCCCUUCCACGGUGUGCCGCCAUACUUUACAAUAGCCUGUGCUGCUUGCUGCGAAGGAGAGAAGAGAUAAAGAUAAAUUGUUGGUUCAAGGCUGUGCUACUCUUGGAUUUACCAACAGAGAGGACACAUGGACGAUGAUCUUUAAUGAGAACAAUAGAACUGUUUCAGAGGCUGUGAAGGACACCACGAAACCCAGGACAGCAAGCGUGACAGAUCAGGGCUCAUGCUUGUACUCCACAAAGCUGUGGUUCCCCUCAUCUCCAGCCCACGUUAGCUGUCACAGUGGCUAGCGGGCUGCUCUCUGCUGUUAGUAGCAUCUCUUUGUGGGAAUAUCAGUGUGACUGUGGACAGAGGUUCAAGCUGAAUUCUAUUUAUAGCAUCUGGUGAGUCAUUUAUGUCACCUUGACAAAAGCCAGCUCCAGAGCCAACUUGCCAUUACUCUAUUAGAAAAGCAUUCUCAUCGGAAUAUUCUGAUGAAACCAAAAGCAAGCUGUAAAAUCCUCCUCGCAGCUUGCAUGCCUGUCUUUUCAUUGGCCUAAUGUGAUAAUCCUUACACUCAACACUGCACCAUGCGACAAGAGCACCUGUGGCUCUCAGUGCCUCUCAACACGUAGGGUUUCUUCCUGCCUGACAUGGUGAGCUCCAGGACAGCCGGAGCUACAUAGUGAGACCCUGCCUCCAAAACAAACAAACAAACAAACAAACACACACUAAUCAAACAAAUAAACAAAGGCUUUUUCUUAAAGGAAGUAGAGAGGGGAGAUAAUUUUCUGGUAGUUUUCUGCAGAGUUAACUUAGCAAUUGGCCUGGAAAAUAUGCUAACCAACCAAGCUUCAAAAAGUCUUUCCACUCCUGCAAAGACUUUGAAGCACCGGCGACUUUGGUCUCUGUGACAUUUCCACAUUUGGCAUUGACACCGGCCACUUUGAUUUCAGCAGAGGAGAGAUAUGCUCAAUGUAAAGGCUUUGAAGCUGCAGUUUUAUCACUCAGUUUGAAAAAACAACCUCUGUGGUUAAGCAUGCUAAAUCCCCCUGCACUUUCAUAGCAGUUUGGUUAAAUGUUACUUUGUGGCGGUUGGAGAGUGAAUGGGAGGUAACAGACGCGGUGCUGUUUCUGAAACAGGUGCAAAGGACGCUCUCAUCUCCUAAGCAUGCCACUGGCAGAGGCUCCUCAUCAGACUUUAUGCUUUGUUAAAUGGAACAAAGUAACACCGAUACCCGGGUCCAAGUGUCUAGACCUUUUGUAGAUUGAUAAUGGGACUGUAAUAUGGUAAAGACCACUUGGAAAAGUAUGGACGUUUCCCAUCAAGUCUAAAGUACAAGUAAUAUACAGUGUUACAACUUCAGUCUUAUCUAUUUAAGUCAAGAGAAAUGAAACUAUAUAACUGGGGGCUGGAGAGAUCACCCAGUGGCUAGGAGGGUGUUCAGCUUGUGUAGAGGAGCUAAGUUUUGCUUCCCAGCAUUCAUGUUGACUGACACACAACCACCUGUAACUCCAGCGAUAGGGGAUCCAGUGCCCUCUUCUGGACCCACCUAGUACCUGAAUUAUUGAACACACACACAUAUACUCUCUCUCUCUCUCUCUCUCUCUCUUAAAAAUAAAGCAAACUUUUAAAAAUCC